rnacentral:rRNA from 1 species
CAGUCGCCGCGGUAACACGAAGGGUGCUAGCGUUACUCGGAAUUACUGGGCGUAAAGGGCGCGUAGGCGGCACGAUUAGUCAGGCGUGAAAUUCCUGGGCUCAACCUGGGGACUGCGCUUGAUACGGUCGAGCUAGAGGAUGGAAGAGGGUUGUGGAAUUCCCAGUGUAGAGGUGAAAUUCGUAGAUAUUGGGAAGAACACCGGUGGCGAAGGCGGCAACCUGGUCCAUUACUGACGCUGAGGCGCGACAGCGUGGGGAGCAAACAGGAUUAGAUACCCCUGUAGUCCCUGUCUCUUAUAC